rnacentral:rRNA from 1 species
GGGGGGGGGGGGGGGGGGGGGGGGUGGGGGGCGGGGGGGGGGACGGGUGGAGGGCUGGCUCCUUUGUCGUUAGCGGCGGACGGGUGCGUAAGCCGUGGGUACCCCCCUUAUAAAACGGGUAUCACUUCGGGACCCCGUACCUAAUCCCGGAUACUCUUUGGACCCGCAUGGUUCGAAAGUCAACGAUCGUUUUCCUCUCCCUCCUAGCUUGACCCGCGCCGUAUUAGCUAGUUUGUAAGGUAACGGCUUACCAAGGCGACGAUACGUAGCCGACCUGAGAGGGUGAUCGGCCACACUGGAACUGAGACACGGUCCAGACGCCUACGGGAGGCAGCAGUAGGGAAUCUUCCGCAAUGGGCGAAAGCCUGACGGAGCAACGCCGCGUGAGUGAUGAAGGUCUUCGGAUCGUAAAACUCUGUUAUUAGGGAAGAACAUACGUGUAAGUAACUGUGCACGUCUUGACGGUACCUAAUCAGAAAGCCACGGCUAACUACGUG